rnacentral:rRNA from 1 species
AGAGUUUGAUCCUGGCUCAGGAUGAACGCUGGCGGCGUGCCUAAUACAUGCAAGUCGAACGGUCCGCAAGGAUAGUGGCGAACGGGUGAGUAACGCGUUGGUGACCUGCCCUGAAGAGGGGGAUACCGGAUCGAAAGGUCCGCUAAUACCGCAUAAACUCUGGCUAGUUAGAGAGGCGAGAGGAAAGCCGAAAGGCGCUUUAGGAGGGACCUGCGUCCCAUCAGCUAGUUGGUAGGGUAGAGGCCUACCAAGGCGAUGACGGGUAGGGGACCUGAGAGGGUGACCCCCCACAAUGGAACUGAAACACGGUCCAUACACCUACGGGUGGCAGCAGUAGGGGAUAUUGGUUAAUGGGCGCAAGCCUGACCCAGCAACGCCGCGUGAACGAUGAAGGCCUUCGGGUUGUAAAGUUCUUUUUAGCGGGAUGAGGAAGGACAGUACCGCUAGAAUAAGUCUCGGCUAACUACGUGCCAGCAGCCGCGGUAACACGUAGGAGACGAGCGUUAUCCGGAUUUACUGGGUGUAAAGCGCGUGCAGGCGGCAUGGUAAGUUGGAUGUGAAAGCUCCUGGCUUAACUGGGAGAGGUCGUUCAAGACUGCCAGGCUAGAGGACAGCAGAGGGGAGUGGAAUUCCGAGUGUAGCGGUAAAAUGCAUAGAUAUUCGGAAGAACACCAGUGGCGAAGGCGGCUCUCUGGGCUGUAACUGACGCUCAGACGCGAAAGCUAGGGUAGCAAACGGGACUAGAGACCCCGGUAGUCCUAGCCGUAAACGAUGUGGACUUGGCGUAGGUGGGUUCAAAUCCAUCUGUGCCGAAGCAAACGCGAUAAGUCCACCACCUGGGGACUACGGCCGCAAGGCUAAAACUUAAAGGAAUUGACGG